rnacentral:lncRNA from 1 species
AGGUGCAAGUGCUGAGUUACAACGCGACAUCGAGGACACAAAAGCCAGUAUGUUUGAGCUAAGGGAACGAGCUAGGGACAGUACCACCCGGCUGCCCCAGCACUUAAGCUGACUGUCCAAUUCCACUUUCAUCCAUGGAAGCUGCGGUUUAAUUCUCAGGUUUGGCAACCUUUUCUCUCUACGGCUGAGUGUUGUAGUCCUGUCAAAUGAAGCAGUGUUGUUUUUGCAAUAUAGAACAGAUAUAUAAGGUGCUUCCAAUUUCUUAAUCCCAGAAUUGACGAGACCUUAUUUAGUUUGGACUCAUAAUAAUGUGUCAAUUAGAAAUAGAGCAUUGUCAUUAUCCUGACGGAUGGAUGUAUAUCAUAUGUUCUCUUGCGUUGUAUUUUGGUGAGAAAAAAGGAGAAAUAUGAGAGGAACAGAGAGAGCAGAGAGAGAGGCACACAUCACUGAACCCUUUUGGAUUCUAAUGCAAGGUUGGAUAAUAUGAAGUUUUUUGGCUUAUCGUUGCACCUCACGUUUCCGACCUCGCGUGGCUGUACACUUCUCGUACUCGACUGUUCGCCGGAACUUUGUAUGACCUGAGGUACAUACUGCAGUGUCAUCAAUUUGCAUCUGUCAUCAAAGACUACUUUUAUCUAUCAUUUAAAUUGCCACGAGUAUUUGAAAUUCAUUCUUCUUACUUUUUCAGAUAAUAUAGUAUAUACUAAUUUUGUUCAAGUAUAUACUACUUUUUAUCACUUUUACUUUUUCUCACCGGAUGCAUGCAUGCUUCUCCUCACAGGUUUCCCUUGGUUCAGUACUUAAUUUUUUUGGUGUAUACUUUCUCCUCGGCAGUGAAGUAUAUGUACGACAAGACAGAAAGAAACAUAUACUGUUGAUCGAUACUGAAACACACCAUACAGAAAGGCCCUCUCUUCUAUACCCCUUUGCGAAAAAUAGUAUACUAUCAUUUGAAAAGAAAACACACCAUACACUCCUUUGUGACAAUGAGUAUACACUGAUCGUUAUUGCCAGUAUCAUAGGUAUAUACUCUGAGAAUAGUUGUAUAUAUCCCAUUUGAAAAAAUAGUAUGUAUAUACUCCUUGCAAACUACUCCAUAUCGUUUAAUUGUUUUUACAUAAGACUAUCCGUCGAGAUACAAUAACUAAUUAGUAUUUUAAUAACUUGAAUUGCAUGGCUUGAUCGCUCUGCUUGGGUCUUCUCUUAUGUAUGAGUGCACCAUGUGCGGGUUAAUUUUUUUGGGUCUUCUAACUCUCUGGGAUAAUUUGCAUCUCUAUUUGUGCUAAUUGGCAAGGUGCAUGAAUAAUGAUUUAUCAAAGGUUUUUUGCUUAAUGGAAAGGCCUUUUCAGUUAAAAAACCCUACUGAUUUGAUCAACAGAAUAUGCCUCUGUUUUUAAAUAGCAGUAGUUCCUCUCAACUUCUACUUAUUUAAUUGACUAUUUUGGUGUCAAGAUCCAAUAGCCUUGCUGUUAGUUAAUGCUAUUUAUAUUUUCUUCCAACAAAGUGUUUACGGCCAAAACACUCGUCAUUUCCAUCAAAAACAAUGGCUCGCUCCCGCCAGGCCGCAGCAAAAGUUUUGGCCGGUCCCAUAAAAAAUAGUUCCAGCAAAAAAGAUUGUUGUCCCGGUCAUAGGUAUUGUAUGAUUCCACUCUACUCCUCUGUAGUUAUUUGGCUGAAGAUGUGCAUUAGUGGUUGGCUGUGAUAAUACAUAUAGUAAGAUUGCAUGUUAUGCUUAGCAGAGCUUAGCGGAAAUUUGCUAGAGGAGUUGCAACAGCCUUGAUCAAAUAUUAUUUUCAUUAUUCCUUCUUGGUUUUAGAUAAUCUUCAUCGAAAUUUGCUAGAGAAGUUGCAACAGCUUUGGUCAAAUAUUAUUUUUAUUAUUCUUUGUUGGGUUUAGACAAUAAAGUAGAGAAUCAAAAUCCUUCUACUAUAUGUGUACCUGUAAUAGAGCAACGCUUGUUGCAGCUAGCUGCAGGAAGGACCAACUUGACUUGAUGGGGAUACAAUCACCAAGAAAGAUUCAUACCUGAACUUACCUUUAUGCAUUGCACGAACUACCAAGAUAUUGUAUCUUCCUGUAUGAUCCAUAACUCAUAGACACAUGAGUAGCGAUGGGAUACUAUUUGGUAUGAACAACAUCAUCGUGUUGCAAUUCUAACAUGUAUUCAUUGAACUUAUUUAUCCACAUAAUAGUGAUGCAUCUUACGUAUCUGUCUAUUGUAUCUGAAUCUAAAAUGUAAUUAACUCCUUAAUUUGCCUUCAACAGGAUUGAUAUUUAAAUUAACCAUUUUUUAUAAUGACAAUGAACAUGUCAUUUCUAAGCACUGGCAUGCACUUUUUAUUUCAUGUCGAUAACACGGUGAUGCUUCGCGAAAUGUUUGAACAGGGUAGAUAGCCAUUCAACUAGGGGGAGCUGAUUUUUCCCCGUUGCAAUGCACGGGCACUUUUGCUAGAAGUAGAGGCAUUUAUUAACUGAAGCAAAGUCGCUCUGUCUUUAUCAUGUCAAUAGGCAAUUGUGCCUACAAAUUAGACAAUAGGGGGGAUUUAGCAAGUCACCAGCUCCGAAAGCAUAAAAAAUAAUUCAGUAUAUAGGCGACUACUCGAUUUUGAAGAGGUACUUCUCCAAAAAAGAUAGUACGUGAGCCUUUUCUAAGCUGUAGGAUAUCAUAGUCUGCUCUGCUAGCUGUAAAUUGUAAGAUAGGUGGCUGCAUGUCUCAUAUUCCCGCAUGCUCGACACUGAGAUAACCAUCUCAUCGGCUUCUGGUAAGCUCCCUCUCGACAUGCUUGCAUACCGGACAGUUUUGGUGCAUUUGUAGUAGCUCGUAUCAAUGGUUUCAGCUCUGCUAAACAAUGGGUUCAAUUAUUUCAUUAGUCUUAGCUACUGUGAUUUGAUAAGGGAUAUACUAACAAAUUUUGUUUGGUUCACUUGAACUCCGCCCCUUAAAGAGGUACUAUAUCUUAUCAAGCCUGCGAGACACUGAGCACUCCUCCCUAUCCGACCACAAUUCUUCCAACCCAAUACAGUAGCUCAAGGCGUCAUCGAUGGUCUAGCAGCGAUCCGUAGCAACGCACGGGCACAUUUACUAGUUAUGCUCAUGAGGGAGUCGUUGCAUAAACCGGCUCUUCUCUAGUUGUGUCUAGUCUUAACCAUUAUUUUCUCUUCUCCUUUGGGAAGCCCUGCCUUCCUUAUAUAUGUUGAAGGGACGGUUUACAUGACUAGUCCUAGUUGGAUUAGGAUUACUCUAUUACAAGUGGAAUCCUAGUCUUGCUUUCUUUGUAGGAGAAUAUUCCUUAUGAUUUUCUCAUAAACCGGCCCAUCAUUAACAUGAACCGGCCUUCUGGGCCUUGGGCCUUGUCAUUCGUCUGACCUGCCCGCUGGAUCACCAGUGAGUCAUAAUGUUUAGGCGGGUUGCAUCAAGUCAGGGCGGGUCGCCAGUGAAUCGCCAAGUGUCAGCCAGGUCUUAAGUAAAUCGCCAAGUCCGGUCGGGUCAUAUUUUCGGCCGGGUUAUAUAGCGGGGUAUAUCCCCGACAGUACCUCCUCGCGAAACUCAUGGAAAGGUACACAAUAGGUCUGGUACAAAUCAUAGCAUACUUUAUAGAACCUAUGGCUGAGGCAUAGGAAAUGACUUUCAUUCUCUUUCUAUUUUCUGCUGUGGUCGGUUUUGAGUCUUACUCAACUUCACAUCUUACAAUAUAGGCAAGAACUCCUUCUUUGACUGAUCUAUUUUGAACGUCUUCAAAAUCUUGUCGAGGUAUGUGCUUUGUGAAAGUCCUUUUAAGUGUCUCGAUCUAUCCCUACAGAUCUUGAUGCCCAAUAUAUAAGUAGCUUCACCGAGGUUUUCUAUCAGAAAACUCUUAUUCAAGUAUCUUUUUAUGCUAUCCAAAAAUUCUAUAUCAUUUCCAAUCAACAAUAUGUCAUUCACAUAUAAUAUUAGAAAUGCUACAGAGCUCCCACUCACUUUCUUGUAAAUACAGCCUUCACCAUAAGUCUGUAUAAAAACAUAUGCUUUGAUCACCUUAUCAAAGCGUAUAUUCCAACUCUGAAAUGCUUGCACCAGUUCAUAGAUGAACCACUAGAGCUUGCACACUUUGUUAGGACCUUUAAGAUCGACAAAACCUUUUGGUUGCAUCUACAACUCUUCUUUGAGAAAUCCAUUAAGGAAUACAGUUUUGACGUCCAUUUGCCAGAUUUCAUAAUCAUAAAAUGUGGCAAUUGCUAACAUGAUUCGGACAGACUUAAGCAUCGCUACGGGUGAGAAGGUCUCAUCAUCGUCAACUCUUUGAACUUGUCAAAAACCUUUUGCAAAAAGACGAACUUUGUAGACAGUAAUAUUACCAUCAGCGUCAGUCUUCUUCUUGAAGAUCCAUUUAUUCUGUAUGGCUUGCCGAUCAUCGGGCAAGUCAACCAAAGUCCAUACUUUUUUUUCAUACAUGGAUCCUAUUUCAGUUUCAUGGCCUCAAGCCAUUUGUCGGAAUCUGGG